UGGUGAACCAGCGGAGGGAUCAUUACCGAGUUUACAACUCCCAAACCCAUGUGAACAUACCUACUGUUGCUUCGGCGGGAUUGCCCCGGGCGCCUCGUGUGCCCCGGAUCAGGCGCCCGCCUAGGAAACUUAAUUCUUGUUUUACUUUGGAAUCUUCUGAGUAGUUUUUACAAAUAAAUAAAAACUUUCAACAACGGAUCUCUUGGUUCUGG
rnacentral:misc_RNA from 1 species